rnacentral:lncRNA from 1 species
AAAAUAAUGAGUCAUGUACACGAGUAAUGUACAUAGAGAUACAUAUAGGAAAAAUAAUGAGUCACGGCACACGAGUAAUGUACAAUAAUCACAAAAGUAGAAAUACUCAUCAUGCGUGCAUGAAACAACAUGAAUUAAGAACAUAAUACAAGAAAUACAAAAAGGAUGCAUCAUCUCUAUCUAGACAUAGCCUGAUGCGAUGUCAAGCCACUUAUUCAAGAGAUAGCACGCUGUGGCGAUACAUAGCUAGCUCCAUCCAGGUGUCUCCUCAUUCAAUUGUCAUAUAUGUAUAGAGAGAGAGGAAGAGAUCAACUGUCGGUUGUCGGCGGUUUGCGCUUCGGUGGCGGCUCAGGCUUUGGUUCGGGUUUGGGUUCUGGUUUAGGCAUCGGUUCAGGCUUGGGCUCGGGUUUUGGUUCAGGUUUAGGCAUGGGCUUAGGCAUGGGCUCAGGCUUUGGUUCUGGUUUAGGCAUUGGCUUAGGCUUGGGUUCGGGUUUUGGCUCUGGUUUGGGCAUUGGCUCAGGCUUGGGUUCUGGUUUAGGCAUGGGCUCAGGCUUUGGUUCCGGUUUAAUUGGCUCAGGCUUCGGUUCCGGCUUAGGCAUUGGCUCGGGCUUGGGCUCAGGUUUUGGCUCAGGUUUAGGCAUUGGCUCGGGUUUGGGCUCAGGUUUAGGCUCAGGUUUAGGCACUGGCUCAGGCUUAGGCUCGGGUUUAGGCUCAGGUUUAGGCACUGGCUUAGGCAUGGGCUCGGGUUUUGGUUCCGGUUUAGGCAUUGGCUCAGGUUUGGGCUCGGGUUUAGGCUCGGGUUUAGGCAUUGGCUUAGGCAUGGGCUCGGGUUUUGGUUCCGGUUUGGGCAUGGGCUCUGGUUUUGGCUCGGGUUUUGGCAUUGGCUUAGGCAUGGGCUCUGGUUUUGGUUCCGGUUUAGGCAUCGGCUCAGGUUUCGGCUCUGGUUUAGGCAUUGGUUUGGGCAUUGGUUCCGGCUUGGGCUCUGGCUUCGGCUCGGGCUUGGGCAUGGGUUCAGGUUUGGGCUCAGGUUUCGGUCCCGGUUUGGGCAUUGGUUCUGGCUUCGGCUCAGGUUUCGGUUCAGGUUUAGGCAUGGGUUCAGGUUUCGGUUCAGGUUUUGGCUCUGGUUUUGGCAUGGGCUUGGGCUCCGGUUUUGGCAUGGGUUUUGGUUCCGGCUUUGGCUCUGGCUGCGGCAUAGGCUUAGGCUCCGGCUCGAC